AAAAAGAAACAUCAUACUUAGGCC
rnacentral:sRNA from 1 species